GAUGAAGAACGGUAGCGAAAUGCGAUAAGUAAUGUGAAUUGCAGAAUUCAGUGAAUCAUCGAAUCUUUGAACGCACAUUGCGCCCGCCAGCACUCUGGCGGGCAUGCCUGUUCGAGCGUCAUUUCAACCAUCAAGCCCCCAGGGGCUUGUGCUGGGGCCCUGCGGCUGCCCGCAGGCCCUGAAAACCAGUGGCGGGCUCGCUAGUCACACCGAGCGCAGUAGCACAUCUCGCUCAGGGCGUGCGGCGGGCUCCUGCCGUGAAACCCCCCACUGUAACCCCAAAGGUUGACCUCGGAUCAGGUAGGAAUACCCGCUGAACUUAAGCAUAUCAAUAAGCGGAGGA
rnacentral:misc_RNA from 1 species